CCUACGGGCGGCAGCAGUGGGGAAUAUUGCGCAAUGGGCGAAAGCCUGACGCAGCGACGCCGCGUGAGGGAUGAAGGUCUUCGGAUCGUAAACCUCUGUCAGCAGGGAAGAACGGUCACUGUGCUAAUCAGCAGUGAAUUGACGGUACCUGCAAAGGAAGCACCGGCUAACUCCAUGCCAGCCGCCGUGGUAAUACGGAGGGUGCGAGCGUUAAUCGGAAUUACUGGGCGUAAAGCGCUCGUAGGCGGUAUGUCAAGUCAAGGGUGAAAUCCCCGCGCUCAACGUGGGAACUGCCUUUGAAACUGGCAAACUGGAGUGUGUGAGAGGAUAGUGGAAUUCCAGGUGUAGGAGUGAAAUCCGUAGAUAUCUGGAGGAACAUCAGUGGCGAAGGCGACUAUCUGGCACAUAACUGACGCUGAGGAGCGAAAGCGUGGGUAGCAAACAGGAUUAGAUACCCUUGUAGUC
rnacentral:rRNA from 1 species